CACGUAGGGUGCGAGCGUUGUCCGGAAUUAUUGGGCGUAAAGAGCUCGUAGGCGGUGUGUCGCGUCGGCCGUGAAAACCUGCAGCUUAACUGUGGGCGUGCGGUCGAUACGGGCAUCACUGGAGUUCGGCAGGGGAGACUGGAAUUCCUGGUGUAGCGGUGAAAUGCGCAGAUAUCAGGAGGAACACCGGUGGCGAAGGCGGGUCUCUGGGCCGAUACUGACGCUGAGGAGCGAAAGCCGUGGGGAGCGAACAGG
rnacentral:rRNA from 1 species